GUGGGAAUAGCUCAGUGGUAGAGUGCAUGGUUAGCACGCAUGAGGUCCUGGGUUCAAUUCCCCAGUACCUCCA
rnacentral:tRNA from 1 species